CACGUAGGGAGCAAGCGUUGUCCGGAUUUAUUGGGCGUAAAGAGCUCGUAGGUGGUUCGGUAAGUCAGGUGUGAAACCUCCAGGCUCAACCUGGAGACGCCACUUGAUACUGCUGUGACUGGAGUCCGGUAGGGGAGCGUGGAAUUCCUGGUGUAGCGGUGGAAUGCGCAGAUAUCGGGAGGAACACCAGUGGCGAAGGCGACUACCUGGCCUGUUCUUGACGCUGAGGCGCGAAAGCUAGGGGAGCAAACGGG
rnacentral:rRNA from 1 species